UACAGAGGGUGCGAACGUUGCUCGGAAUUACUGGGCGUAAAGCGCGUGUAGGCGGCAACGCAAGUCGGAUGUGAAAUCCCAUGGCUCAACCAUGGAAGUGCACCCGAAACUGCGUCGCUAGAGUCCUGGAGAGGAAGGUGGAAUGCUUGGUGUAGAGGUGAAAUUCGUAGAUAUCAAGCGGAACACCGGUGGCGAAGGCGGCCUUCUGGACAGUGACUGACGCUGAGACGCGAAAGCGUGGGGAGCAAACAGG
rnacentral:rRNA from 1 species